ensembl:lncRNA
GAAAGACACAAGCUGAGCUAAUAAGAACUGCAGCAGAUUUUGCAUGCACGUUGCAAACUGUGUCCCGAAAGGAGCAGGAUGGGGUGGAAGAGGCAGCGGCCACUGGCAGAGGAACGCAGGGCUGAGUCACGGCCGCAUCGUGCCAGCACUGCCUGCCCGCUGCCUGCAGUGCCUGGGAGAGUUCUCCGUGUUUCUCUCUCUUCCCUUUCUGCACAGGAAUCGUUACUCACUCUGCACACAAUGCCAGAAAAGGAAAAAAAAUCCCUUCCAGACUCUGAAAUCCACUGAAUUUUAAAGGAGAAAGAGUGUGAAGACCAUGCCUCCAUGAGAAUCUAGGAUUUGAAAAGUGACAGAAAAGCAAAACAGAGGAGAAUGGAAAUAAUCCAACACAGCUUACCCCAGCGCUGUCACUUUGACCAGGAGAAGCUCUAAGAUCGUCAUGGCACUGUUUGAACAGUCAGAGUAAUCUCUAC